UACGUAGGGGGCAAGCGUUGUCCGGAAUUAUUGGGCGUAAAGAGCGUGUAGGCGGUCCGGUAAGUCAGCUGUGAAAGUCAAGGGCUCAACCCUUGAAAGCCGGUUGAUACUGUCGGGCUAGAGUCCGGAAGAGGCGAGUGGAAUUCCCGGUGUAGCGGUGAAAUGCGCAGAUAUCAGGAGGAACACCGAUAGCGAAGGCAGCUCGCUGGGACGGUACUGACGCUGAGGCGCGAAAGCGUGGGGAGCGAACAGG
rnacentral:rRNA from 1 species